GUCCCUGUUGCGCAAUGGAUAGCACGUUGGACUUUUAAUUCAAAGGUCGUGGGUGCGAAUCCCACCUGGGAUG
rnacentral:tRNA from 1 species